rnacentral:tRNA from 1 species
AGUAGAAUGGCUGAGAUAAUUAUUAGGUUAUAGAUUGUAAAUCUAUUUAGGGGUGGAUUCCCUUCUACUA